AACGGGCACUUCGGUGCUAGUGGCAGACGGGUGAGUAACACGUGGGAACGUACCUUUCGGUUCGGAAUAAUUCAGGGAAACUUGGACUAAUACCGGAUACGCCCUUCGGGGGAAAGAUUUAUCGCCGAUAGAUCGGCCCGCGUCUGAUUAGCUUGUUGGUGAGGUAAUGGCUCACCAAGGCGACGAUCAGUAGCUGGUCUGAGAGGAUGAUCAGCCACAUUGGGACUGAGCCAGGGCCCAAUCUUAUACGGGAGGCAGCAGUGGGGAAUAUUGGACAAUGGGCGCAAGCCUGAUCCAGCCAUGCCGCGUGAGUGAUGAAGGCCUUAGGGUUGUAAAGCUCUUUUGUCCGGGAAGAUAAUGACUGUACCGGAAGAAUAAGCCCCGGCUAACUUCGUGCCAGCAGCCGCGGUAAUACGAAGGGGGCUAGCGUUGCUCGGAAUCACUGGGCGUAAAGGGCGCGUAGGCGGACUCUUAAGUCGGGGGUGAAAGCCCAGGGCUCAACCCUGGAAUUGCCUUCGAUACUGAGAGUCUUGAGUUCGGAAGAGGUUGGUGGAACUGCGAGUGUAGAGGUGAAAUUCGUAGAUAUUCGCAAGAACACCAGUGGCGAAGGCGGCCAACUGGUCCGAUACUGACGCUGAGGCGCGAAAGCGUGGGGAGCAAACAGGAUUAGAUACCCUGGUAGUCCACGCCGUAACGAUGAAUGCCAGCCGUUGGGGUGCAUGCACCUCACUGGCGCAGCUAACGCUUUAAGCAUUCCGCCUGGGGAGUACGGUCGCAAG
rnacentral:rRNA from 1 species